AACUAAACGGCCACAUAAAAAUGAGCCCAGAUAUCUAAGCCCAAUAAGAAUAAAUCACGGAGAAGUUGUUGACGAUCUGUGAUAUCACGUUUUUGUAACAACGUUUCGUUUGGAAAAUCUAAUUUUGCUCCGACGUUAAGCUCCGUCCGGUGGAAUCUCCGAUUACUUAUCCUCUGUGAUCACCGGUCAUAAUGCUCGCCGUUUCCUUUUCACUCAGGUUAUUCUAGAAGAAACCUCCUUUGUCUCCAUGUCUGUGUGGUAAUAUUGACUAAAAGUAAUUAAGUCAUUUGAAUUGAAGGUAAUGUUAAGUAAUUAAGUCAUUUGAACUGAAGGUAAUGUUGUCACAUUGUGAUGAAAACAUCCAUGUGCAGUUUAGUUACACCUCUGGCAAAUGACUACUUAAUCAAUAUUGAAUUAU